CUUUAGCAACAUCUUCAUCUGCAAUGAGUGCUCUAGUUCCAUCCUCAAUUGCAUUGAGUGUUCCAUCUACAUCUGCAAUAAUUGUUACAUCUUCAGCUGCUACAAGUGUCCCACAACCUCCACAACAACUACAGAUUUAGGGUCCAGCACCCUAGACCGAUUAGUAAUCGGUCAUUUUUGCAGUGGGUCCGGUU
rnacentral:lncRNA from 1 species